GUCAAAGUUGAAAUUAGUACAAAACAUUGGACCAGCAUGAAGAAGGAGCAAUGUAAAAGGUUUCGUUUUUAUAAGGCAUCAUCAGACCGAUGGGAAGAGCGACAAAGCACAGACCUCUGCAGAGGAAGCAAGAAUGUAUUUUCACCCCCUGGAGAAGAGACCUCUGCAGUUGGUAGAGAGUCUCUUGGAGGAUAGCGUACUGGAGGACUUCCUGGUUGACUGUGAAAGCUUGAUCACUUCUGCCAAUUACAAAGACAGUUGAGGAGAGAUCUAUUGUGAAGCUGUGUGGCUAUCCUGUCUGUUCAAAUAAACUGGGCUAGGUCCCCACUCAACAGUUAAACAUUUCCACCAACACCAAUAAAGUCAAUGACAUUACAGAACGCAAGUCCUUCUGCAGUAAUUCUGCUACAAAGCCUCCAAGUCAUUUGAGCUGCAGAUUUCAAAGAGCCAUCUAUGAUUGAGGCAGCACGAGAGAUGUAAACUUAAUGAAUAAAGGAGAUUGCGGUAGCACUGGAGAGGAGGAGAGGCUGACUGAGGUGUUUCAGAGAGGAGGAUGUGAGGAACCUUCCCCUGUACUCUGUGGCCCCAGAGAACCCCAGAUGAUCCCGUACAGCCGGUCACAGCGACACAGAACAGCACUUUGUUUCCAGCGUAGUCUCCCAGCAACAGUUACCCAGGGUGCACUGGGGCAGUCUGCCCAAGCACACCAACGAAGGUGAGGGGGGGAGGGGAGGGAACGAGAAGAGGGAGAGAAGGUCGGGAGGGAAGGACACAAAGAUGCCAAAACAAACAAACAAGGCUGAAGACAAGAAAGAGGAGAAUACAGAAGAAUCACAGAAAGAACCAACAAAGACAAUCAAUGACAUAGGUGGACCCCAACAACACACAACAGGUACAAACCACCCCAGUGAGCAGUAGCCUUUCCUGGAAGAGAGAGGCUCACCAGAGGGCCGGUCUAUGGAGGAUGCCGCAGCACUACUGAGCCAAGUCACAAUGCAGGAUAGAGAUCCAGUCACGGUUACAUCUUCUGUACUAACAACCGUCAACACAGUGCGUGUACAGAAUCAAGAUCCAGCUCCAACUCCCAACCCUCAGUGGGACUCAACCCCAGCACAGCCCACCCAGCCGGGCCUCAGGAUCACCCAGGUGGGCAUGAGCAGGAGGGGGGCCCAGGGGCUCCUCAAGGGCCACGAAACUACUCCAAAACCUGGCUCGGUCUGACUGAACCUUCUAGAAGUCCUAUGGAGUUCCUUCGACGAAUGGUGGACUGAGGAGACUAUGAAGUUCCUAUAUGGCCCAGACCACUUUAAUAAAACAACAGUAGAAACGAAGAAGAAAAAGGAGGAGGAGGAAGAAGAACUGGAUGAAGAUAAGCUGGAGGAUGUUGUAGAAGGGGUUGGGGAUGGAGGGGACGGCGGGUCCCCAGAGGGUCAGGGAGUUCUACAAAGGGGAGCCCACUGGGUGUCAGGGAAAUGGGCCCUGAGACUCAGAGGUGAGUGGGGGAUAAGUGUAGUGUAGUAACCGUCAGUGUCCAGAUGGGGGCACUAUGUAUAAGCAUUGGAGAUGUUAAGUGUGAUGAUGAUGAUGGUCUUGUUUUUGAGGUUGGCUUUUACCAUGAAUAUGUUUUUUUGUCUCACUUCACUUCUUUCCCUCACUCUGUGUCUCCUCUCCUUUCCCAUCUAUGCUCUCUCUCCUUUCACACUCUUUCUCCUGUUUCACGCUCUUUCUCUCAUGCUCUCUCUCCACCCCACCCCCCCACCCAGGACCAGGGUGGUUGGUUGAUUCCCAUGCCUAGCACCUCAUACAGAAACACAUAAUGGUUGAGAAGCUCACUAGAGGGUGUGUGUGUCUGUAUGAAAAUGCUGCUACGGUUUUCAAAGUUCAAAAAACUGUUUUAUGCAAUGGAAAUGUGGUCACUGAUGUGCUGAUAGUUGACAACCAGCAAUAUUACAGAAGCAUUGGUUCACAAACACCAACAUUAUCCACAAAGGCCCAGAGGGGACCAUGAUCGUUAUGGUGC
ensembl:lncRNA